CCCUAUUAUUAGGAAAAAAUCAACAAUUAGAGACUAAGUGUUUUACUGAAAACAAUCUAGGGUGGCGGUUUUUCUAAUUAUCAGAUAAAUGUGUUUUUUAAAAACGAAACUGCACGACCAUCUUUCUUACUCUAGAAAAUUCAUCCUGUACACCGCCGUCUGAAGGGUCAAUGGGAACAUUUAACUCUCCUUCUUUAGGAAGAAAUAAGUCAGGUAAGGUGCAGACUAUGGGUAAGGUAAAAUGCAUUUCUUUUAAGAUUCGAGGAAAUGGGUGAAAACCAUUUCUAAGAGGAAUUUGACAGUAAGAUUGUUUAAUCAUAAAAAUCUGAACUUAUACCAGAAAAAUGUACACAUCGCCCG
rnacentral:rRNA from 1 species